AUCAUCAACCACAAGCCCAUAACUUUGUCUUAAUGAAUCUUAAUGGUCCCAUUGUGCCUUUAUCUAAAAUGUUCCCCAUUACAACGGUUGUAUUGCAGCAUCUACACUACUUCCACACUCGGUGUUCACUUGUCUUCCCAUGGUAAUUCUCUCAGUUCCAAUUACAAAACCAUUCUACUAGAAUUCCUUAAAUCCGACUUACUUGCUCUUCUCCUCAACCAAAUCUCCUACAACCAAAACUCACCAGAGCU
rnacentral:lncRNA from 1 species